rnacentral:rRNA from 1 species
UACGAAGGGGGCUAGCGUUGCUCGGAAUCACUGGGCGUAAAGCGCACGUAGGCGGACUCUUAAGUCGGUGGUGAAAUCCUGGAGCUCAACUCCAGAACUGCCUUCGAUACUGAGAGUCUUGAGUCCGGGAGAGGUGAGUGGAACUGCGAGUGUAGAGGUGAAAUUCGUAGAUAUUCGCAAGAACACCAGUGGCGAAGGCGGCUCACUGGCCCGGUACUGACGCUGAGGUGCGAAAGCGUGUGGAGCAAACAGG